rnacentral:rRNA from 1 species
UACGUAGGGAGCAAGCGUUGUCCGGAAUCAUUGGGCGUAAAGAGCUCGUAGGCGGCUUGGUAAGUCGGAUGUGAAACCUCCAGGCUCAACCUGGAGUCGCCAUCCGAUACUGCCAUAGCUAGAGUCCGGUAGGGGCCCACGGAACUCCUGGUGUAGCGGUGAAAUGCGCAGAUAUCAGGAAGAACACCGGUGGCGAAGGCGGGUCUCUGGGCCGUUACUGACGCUGAGGAGCGAAAGCGUGGGGAGCGAACAGG